rnacentral:lncRNA from 1 species
AAAUAUCUAUAAAUCAUUUCUGAAAACGCUAAGUCAUGUAUUCAGCUGUAGAGACGCAUUUCUGUAACUGUUGAUCACUGUAAGUAGCCCAAUAACUCUGAUCCGGUAUAAGUUCCAUCAAGGUUAUAAAUGUUGGAUGGAGGAUGGAGUACGCUUGCUAAGACAGGGCCGGGGAAGUCUUACAAUGUGUCAGACUUAGAUCAACUAUUAUACUUUCCAAUCUUCAAAACAGAAUUGUUCAUUAAAUAGGAAUUUUGGCCAAAAGACACCAGUUUUCUUCUCCCUAUUUGAAUCAAGUAUAUGUAGGCCUACCAUUGCUUCUGCUUGCUAGAUUUCCUUUGAGCAAAAUUCAAAGAGCUGUCAUUCUUCCUCAAUCUAACCAAGAAACAUCUCUAAGAAAAUAUUUCCAUUCCCCUCAGAUAUAAAUGUUAGCAACAUUUCUUAAGUUCUUUUUGUGCACAUAUUAUAAAUAUAGGAAAAUCAAAUAAGAAAGAGGCUUAAUUGAAAUCUUCAGGGACCUUUAAAAUGCAUGUUCGUAUGUCCUCUUGUUCUGGGGAUGUCUUUAUCCAAUGCAGACAUUUACCUCCUCUACUUUUCCUUUGAGAAGUGUUCACAAAGGAAGGCAAAUAUUAAAAAGGGUUUUCCUAUAAUGAACCAUGACCUCUUUCUUCAGAAGGAUGUAACUUUGUGCAGUAGUAAGAAAGCAGCAGUUCGCAGGCUUAGCUUGGGCUAACAUUCUUACAGAUUAUCAAAGUGAGUCCAGGCCGACCAAUGGCCAACCAAAGGCCAACCUUUUCAGAUUCCUUUCCUACUCAAUCUUUGGUAAAAGUUGAGAGCAGGGGCCACAAAAAUGUUUCUGAUUCCAUAUUCCCUCCUUGUUCUUCUCCCUGUGGCUUCCUUGAGAGCAAUGUUUCUCAGCCUGUGGAUGGCAACCCCAUUUGGGGUCAAAUGAUCUUUUCACAGUGGUAGCCUACAACAUUUACAUUAUGAUUCAUAACAGUAGCAAAGUUACAGUUAUAUUAAGUAGCAAUGAAAGUAAUUUUAUGGCUGGAAUGCACCCCCAACAGGAAGGUUGGGAACCACUGACUUAGAAACUAAGGUGUUUGUAAGGGUUAGCUAUGAGGACCAAUAAGCUACAACAAAAAGGGACUUCUGACCAAGAUUGCCAAUUUAGAAAAUUCCUAACAGAAAUUACAAAUGCCAGUAAGACUAGAGUGAAGCUUUUUUUUUUUUAAGUGCACAGAAAAAACAAAACAACAAUAACAAAAUCCAUAUAUAUUCUGGCCACACUGGAGAAAAUACUUUUGUUUAAAUGUUCCUUCUAUCCUCUACAAAGCCCAUGUGCAUUUUAGGUCUCCCAGGAAGUGACUGGCAUUGAGGUGACAUCCCUAUAAAUAGAAAUGUGCCUACACUUAUGACUACGGGGUCUUUCUCCACCUCUUAACUAAGCCUCCCCUGCUUCCGGCCUCAUUAGGACGUUGAACAUUUUACACCCUGUACCCAUACUUGAUACCGCUUAGGAAAAGAACCCAACAGUAACAACAAGAAGCUUAGGGAGCCCACAGUGGAUGCUGAAGUGAUGACUUCUUGUGGCUUGCCAAUGCGCCACCCCACCUUAUUCUGUCAUUUUCUGUGCUGAAGUUAAUCAGGCAAAGAGGAUCAGGUCACAGCAACCCCAUCUGUGUUUGUGCUCACUGUGUAGUCUGGUGAAGGUUUAGUGUACUCUGAAACAAGUGCACAUAAUCUGUCAGCUACAUAAGUGUGUGGAAAAUUCCAUAGUUUAUGCUGUGAGAGUAAAAAAAAACCUUUUGAAAGGACUUGUCUCUUACUAGCCAGAUCUGGAUUUUUUUUCCCCUUUGUUAUUGUUCUUAAGGAUUUACAUGAUUUUAUUUGAUGUGUAUGGAUAUUUUCCCUGCACCUAGCACUUACAGGACAUUGUGUGGUACCUGUGGAGUCCAGAGAGGCUAUCAGAUCCCCUUGGAAUUUGGGAGUUGCAGAAGGUUGUGGACUACCACAUGGACGCAGGAACUUAGGUAGCCACGGUUCUCAGCUAGAGCAUCAGUUGCUCUUAGCCACUGAUCCAGCUCUCUGACUCCCUUGACUUCUUUGAAAGAGGCCAGGCUGGCUUCCAACCCCUAAUCCUCCUGCCUCUGCUUCCUGAGUACUGAGAUUGCAAACAUUUGCUACCACAUCCAGAUAGACUGCCAGAUCUAUAUAAACAACAUAGUGGUCAAGAUGAAAAUGUUAGAACCAAUCGGUUGUUCCAACAGCGCAGAUAGUCUUGUGUUUUGUGUGCUUGUCUGCUAGGUUAGACAAUUUUAGGUAAGGGGAGGUCAUGUGAGUACCUAAGGUUAAAA